GGUCUCCUUGACAGAAAACAAAUAUUGAAGCAGGCAAUCAACUGGUGUGGGGUUAUCACAGGGGGUUGCCAGCAUGACUGCGGAUUGUUGCUUCCACUUAAAAGACAGUGACUUCCAGCCAUGUCCACUUCUGCCCAUCCCAGCUCUUAAUUUGUUUCCAUGAAAAGAAAAUGUGAACCAAAAGAGAUAUAAACAAGCAAAUUACUAUUCCACCUGUGGACACCUGCCUUUGGAUUUGAAUGAAAAGCCAGUGAAUCGUGGGCCUUGUUCUAUGUUUCACUUGCAAGACCUGCGUGGAAAUGGGACACAGAGUGAGUCGAAUUAACUUGGUCAGAUGCUCUUACCUCAGGGGUCAGGGCACUGUUACGUGAUGUCUGACUGGAGAACACGAUGUGGGUGAAUCCAUCUUCCUUCCUGACCACAAUGUCUCAAAUAUAGACUGUUAUUUUCAUUUUGA